AGGAGCUUGCUCCCCGGGAUGCCCAAGGCCUCUGGGGAGUGAAGGCAACGCCAGAGCUCCCUGGGGCCCUGCUCAGGCCGGGAGAAGCAGGCCUGCCCAACACCCUAGGUGGAGAAGAGAGAUGAGCUUUUGACCACAGAAUGAAGACAGCAGGAAAUGUGACAUGAAGCAGUUCUGUUAUAAACUAGUCUGGUGGAGAAGAUCAAAGGCUGGAACUCAGAACCCUGAGAAUCUUCUGCCACUGCUUUGCUGUAUGUCUCGGGGCAAGUGGCUUACUCUCUCUGGGCUCAAUACUAAACGGAGAAAGAUGGACUAGAGGUCUGGCAAGCGUUUCCUUUCCUCUUCCCAGGGAGGGGCAGCCCAUUCCAGGGGGAUGGGGGCAGCCCCAGAAAGACUUACCUCUUUAGCUUCAGUGCAUGCCCUGAGGAAGGCAUGUCUGAAUCUAGGAAACUGCAGGUGGAGGCCGUGCAGGGAACACCCAGCCCAGCGUGGAUGUGCAACAGUGACUGAGGAUUUGGAGGAAGAAGAUGAGGGGUGGGCCAGGCCAGGGCGGAGGCCCUGAGUCCCCUUAGCCCUACUUCAAGGCAGGCUGAGUGCUGCUUCCUGGACAGGGCUGGAAGCUGGCAUUGGGCCCAGGUCAUCUAGUAGGUGCAGUUUGCUGUAAAUAGAAUGAUAUUGUUCACUAAAUAGUAAGCUGUAAAU